rnacentral:rRNA from 1 species
AUUGAACGCUGACGGCAGGCCUAACACAUGCAAGUCGAACGAGUAGCGGAAGAGUGAGUCAUGAAUGUGAAACUGCCUGAUGGAGGGAGGUAACUAAUGGGUACAGUAGCUGAUAACGCAUACCAUCGGAUGCGCCCAGAUGGGAUUAUCUAGUAGGUGGGGUAACGGCUCAACUGGGCGAAGAACCCUAGCUGGUCUGAGAGGAUGACCAGCCACACAGGAACUGAGACACGGUCCAGACUCCAACGGGAGACAGCAGUGGGGAAUAUUGCACAAUGGGCGCAAGCCGGAUGCAGCAAGGCGGCGUGUAGGACGAAGGCCUUCGGGUUGUAAAGUACUUUCAGCGGGGAGGCGUUACCCGAAGAAUAAGCACCGGCUAACUCCGUGCCAGCCGCCGCGGUAAUUC